GGAAAGGCUCCCCUGAGGAGGUUUGAAAUGAGCUGAGUCUUGAAAGACUGACUGGCAUCAGACAGGUGAAGAAAAGACGGGAGAGUGUAGUCAAAGACUCUCAAGGAGAAAUGAGCCAGUACAUUUGGCGGACAGUAGACAGGUCCCUGAAGAGGAGCAAUAAGAGAUGAAGCCAAAAAGAAAGACUGAAAGCAACCUGUGGAAAACUACUUCAGAGAAAGACUUUAAAUUUCUGAGAAAAUCUUUAUACAUAUUGAGUAUAGAUGCUAUCAACCACAUACAUGAAAAUAAUUGUUUGGGGAUAAUGCACACCAUUUGCCAAUGAUUAAGAUUCAGCCCAGUCUUUGUUGCUGCAUUUCUACAUUCACAUAAAUUGGUAAGUCAUGAUGACACAGAAGGCUCACAUGCCACGUAAAAAUUUCAAGCCUGGAUCUGAAUGGGUGCCUGAAUCCUUCUCAGAAUGCAUAUUUUGGAGGCAACUGUUUGGUUUAUGUUACUGCUCCCUAAACUGGGCAGUGACUCAAGAGGCAGCUGGAAGAGAGAAGGAGGUGCUGGGCAAGUGCUAAAAAAGAGUGAAGCCUCAACAGCAGAGUCCCUCCCCUUCUCUACACACCACACAGCCUUUUUGUGACUUCUUG
rnacentral:lncRNA from 10 species